GCCAGCAGCCAUGUUACCCUGCAAUGCACAACUGGCAACCUGCUGAAGCUCAACCACAUGGGAACCUGGCCAGUACCUGGGUGGGAGACCUCCUGGGAAAGCCAAGGUUGCUGCUGGAA
rnacentral:rRNA from 1 species